rnacentral:rRNA from 1 species
CUAUGCGCCUUGCCAGCCCGCUCAGGUGUGCCAGCAGCCGCGGUAAUACGGAGGAUGCGAGCGUUAUCCGGAUUUAUUGGGUUUAAAGGGUGCGUAGGCGGUCCGUUAAGUCAGCGGUAAAAUUGCGGGGCUCAACCCCGUCGAGCCGUUGAAACUGGCAGACUUGAGUUGGCGAGAAGUACGCGGAAUGCGCGGUGUAGCGGUGAAAUGCAUAGAUAUUAGGAGGAACACCAGUGGCGAAGGCGGCUUACUGGACUGUAACUGACGUUGAGGCUCGAAAGCGUGGGGAGCAAACAGG